rnacentral:lncRNA from 12 species
GGGGCUGGCUCCGGGGGCCGGGGAGGCCGCGCGGCGUUCGGGCCGAGCGGGGCGCACGGGCGCCCCUGCAGCCCCUUUGUCCCCGGCCCGCAGCGGGGGCGCCCCCCUCGGCCGACCCCGCGGCCGUCGCCCGCCUGCCCGCCUGCCCGCCCGAGCCCCGUGCGCGGCGCCGGCUCCGGGGGCCUGGGCGCGACCCGCCGAGCCGGGAGCGCGCACCUGCCCGCGCGCCGCGGAGCCCGCUCCCCUCGGCCUCGGCCUCGGCCUCGGCGCGGACCCUUCCCGGGCGCCCCCCGGCCCCGAGGUUGGGUUUUCCCGAAAAUGGCGCCCGGAGGUCCCACCUGCGCCUCCGCCAGCUGCGCCGCGUUCACAAAGCCAGUUUGCGGGCUGGGGACGCGAGCUCUCCAUGGGCAGGGAUCGCGCCGUCCCCGUGUUCCAUCACAACAGGACAGGGAAGGUGAAUCAUCGCUCAGAUUAAUCUACCUGGAGCGUCUCCGGCGGGCGCAUGGACCGGCCCCCGUAGUGGAGUGGCCACCAAUCGCUUUAUUGAAAAAAAAAAUGUUAAUCACGUCUGGAAAAGUGAGAGGACACCCCACCAUUCAAACCCCUGGCACCCGAAAGACUGCAGUUUUUACCGAGCGUUUUUUUGAAUUGGAUUCAGGAGUGAUGGAACUGCUACUCCUCUCCAGCUACCGUGCUAUGAACUUUACAAACAGAACACAGUGCAAGGGGGGGAGCCUGGAAGUGAUUCCUGAAAAUCUAUGCUCAAGUCUUUUAAACCGUGACACUGCGGCCUUUUGCGAGCAGACACUCUUGGUCCUCGGGUUGAGAAGGAGCUUCAGCCCUCAUCUGGAUAUGAGUUGACAACCUAGAAGGAGAGUGUAUAUGUAACAGAAUCAUCAAUCACUAACAGAAGAAACAUUCUGAGGCCCACUUUCCCAGAAGUUGCCCAAGGAAUAUUCAUGGUUCCCUUGAAGACAUAAGUAGCAAGCCACCAGAAGAACUAGACUGGCUGUGUGAAUUUUCCCCUCACAACACCUGGAGUACAACCAAGUCUGGCUAGCAUUUGAAAUGGAUUUCACCGCCACAAAAUCACUUCUAUGGAGUAGAGGUUAAAGAUGGCGUCUGCCACCUGGAGGCAGAUCGCAGCCUAGGCAAGAAAGCCUUCCUGUCGGAGGCUUCUGGUUGGAGAUGAAUAAACGAUCUUGUUUGAGUCA